UCAGAGGUGGGAUCCCCCGGCUCUGCUGUUUUCAACAUGAACUUGGGAAAUCACUUAAUCUUGCACAGUAUCCAUUUCUCAUCUAUAAAAAUGAGGUUAAUGACCCUUGCCGUGGAGGAUGUCGGUGAUGAAUAGGCGAGAUGAUAUACUUGCACUUGGCAGGCAACUUUGCAGUAAGUUCCUUCCAUCUCGUGCGGUGGGGAUGAUGAAAGCGGAUGCUGUCGAGGUUUCACAGGACUGAGAAUUUGAAAGCCUGGAAGUGUGGGUUGUGCUCUGACACUUUGGCCUUCUAAGAUGGGAAUGGAGAGCAGAGCUGAAGCUGUAGCACUGCUUGGAGACUGGUGUUAUUAUUUUCCCAAGAGGCAAUGUGGAGGAUGUUUUCCCAGCCCAGAGGUAGAAGGUACCAAGCUGGCUGCGAGGAGGGGGAACACAGAGGAGCCAGGAGAACCAGGUCGCAAGGAGCCUGCAGCUGACACAGACAGUCUCGAAAAGGAGUCUGAGUUUAAAGGAUCACGUAAUAUGCCUGAGGUCACACCAAGCCAAGUCUGUCUGCCUCCGAAGCCCAUAUGCCUUCAGCAUCGUCACAGGUCUCUGCAGCAGCUAAGGUCAUGGCCAGGGGACAUAAUGAAGUGAGAGCAGAAAGCAGAUCCAAUGUGGCACUUACAGAAAUGCACACAAACAUGACUGAAGAAGGAACUCAAAACCAGGACCCUGUGUAAGGCAUGCUUCCUCCAGGAUGGCCUCCCAGACUGCUCCAGCACUGGCUCUGUGCUUCUCAACACCCACCACACUUAGACCUGGAUCCCUACAAAGUCCAUCGUUGAACUACCCAUCUACUGGCUUCUUGUAUUGAACCAUUUUCCCAAAGCAGAGCUGAAACAUACACUUUUUCUCUAAGUCCCCUUGGAGGUUAACAUAAACCUGAGCCCAAAAGAUGUCAGGUCUGCAAACACUAAUGAGCCUACUGUGUGAAUGCAGAUCUUCUAUGCACAUUGGCAGUUCCAAGGACCAGCAAUAGCUUGGGGGUCAACAACAGGCCCUAAAGCCAAGCAUAGUCUGGGCUUCCUGCCGACUCUGUCCCUGCUGCUGUGUGCCACUCCCUCCGGCUCUCUCCCUGACGAAGGCUGAUAACAUGACCUACAUUUAAGGAUUAAAUGAGAUGCUGCAAAGUUAGGAGCAAGACGGAGGUCAAAGGUUAUGUUUAAAACUGAAGAACGGUGAUGUCAGAAGAAGGGUUUCAGGCUGCAUGAGUCUGAGAGCCUUGAAGUCCCUGAGUGAUCCGCUGAGAGACUGUGGGUCCUAUCAACACCAAGCACAGCAUCUCCAUAGAUCACAGAACAGAUUAAGUGGCCUUUGUCUGUGAUUUGGAACAUUUGUGCAGCCUGGCAUGGACAGCACACGGCAGAGCUCAGCCCAGUCACUAGCUGCCAUGUUGGGGAAGCAUCAGCUGAUGCUGGGAGGACCUGGGUUCAAGUCCCAGCUCUGCUCCUUCUACUCUUAACCUCAGGCAAGUUGAUUGGCUUUGGGCUCCUCCCAUGGGAAUGAGAACUUACCCAGCUGGAUCACAUGAGGUCCAUGCUGGUCUCGCUUGUUUGAUCAAUAAAUAAAUGCUCUAACCAUC